GGCGAUGUAGCUCAGUUGGUAGAGUGCUUGCCUCGUAUGCAUGCAGCCCAGGUUUAACCCCUAGCACUCUA
rnacentral:tRNA from 1 species